AGCUCACCGAGCGAUCUCCCUUCCUUCCUUCCAGUACUUCCUCCUGGUUGUUCUCCUGAGGAGGAAAAGAAGGGGUGACUCUCCACAUCCUUGCAGCCUCACCUCAUCAUCCCUGCCUGCUGCCUGGCCACACCUGGUCACUCAAGGCCUCCUUCAGUGCCCUGGUCUCAGCUGCCUCAGUAGGGGCCCAGGUUUCCUGUGCUGCUUUGAAUGCUGAGAUCCCAUGGGCCAGGGAGUGCCUCCUGGGAACAAAAUCCCUGUCUCGGCAAAGAAAGAAACCCAGAAAGAAGGCAAAGGUGUCCUGGCCCCCAUCGUGGCCACAGGAUGGAGUGGGUUUAAGGGAUGGUCCCACUUCAGGCUGCAUAGUAAGACCUGGAGCCUGUUGAAAUUCCCUGUAUUCGCCUCAGUACUGAAACCAGCACUUGGAUGUCUCCCUUCAUCACCGUGGCAACAGUCAGACUAACAACCACCAUCACCCAUUAAUUAGGACAUGGAAACAUCUUCUGGUCGCAGUCUCCCCCCAAACCCUUCAGGACCAGACUGAAUCCUCAAGGUCUCAGUGGCCAUGCCACACAGGGACACCCAAUUGCUGGUUUC
ensembl:lncRNA novel transcript